AUCGCUUCUCGGCUCUUUUGAGCUAAGAUCAAGUGUAGUAUCUGUUCUUCUCAGUUUAAUACCUGGGACGGAAACGAUUCGUUUCCUCUAUGUAUUAAUCGCGCGCGUGCCAAACACGUAAUUGCCUUAAAAUGAGCAAGCGACGGACCACCCUUU
rnacentral:snRNA from 1 species